rnacentral:rRNA from 1 species
UACGUAGGGGGCUAGCGUUGUCCGGAAUCAUUAGGCGUAAAGAGCGUGUAGGCGGCCCGGUAAGUCCGCUGUAAAAGUCAAAGGCUCAACCUUUGAAUGUCAGUGGAUACUGCCGGGCUAGAGUCCGGAAGAGGCGAGUGGAACUCCUGGUGUAGCGGUGGAAUGCGCAGAUAUCAGGAAGAACACCAACGGCGAAGGCAGCUCGCUAGGACGGUACUGACGCUGAGACGCGAAAGCGUGGGGAGCGAACAGG